AAUGGGAGACACAGAGAAAGGAUGAAAGUCUCUAUCAAGAAUUAAGCUGCACAUACUCUAUCAGAAGAAUACCUUUUUGAUGAGGAAGUUGACUCUCAAUACAGAGGGACGGAGUUGUGAAAAAUUCCCAUCAACAAUACGGUGACAGUGGCAGAGAACUAAGAAAAUAGCGCCGACCAUAUCCAAACGCGUAAUUUUGCCAUCCUUCCGCGCCUGUUGCAGGACAUUAUCAGAGGAAUACAUGAUAUAAGUAGAAGCCGAAAGGAACGAAUUCUUCAGAAUGUAUUAUGUAGGUUUUUUUAAUCAGUUGUAAUGCUGCGAGUGGUUAGGUGGUGGAAAUUGUCCGAAAAUGUGGGGCUGACUUUCCAAAGUUGUCGGAUGCCACUUCUGUAGACUUGACCGACCAUACCCACAUUUGGAUAAUUUAGAUUUUUGGUGGGAUACCUUUGAAGACAACUUUAUCAUACACCAGAGGGUAAUGGAGUUUCGCCUCACGUUGGAUACCCUAUUGGUUUUUAUUGUGCUUAUUGGUUUGGUUUUUGGAUCCCGGCCCAGGUUAGAGGAUGCCCCCCCGCGGAUUGUGGAGCACCCCUCUGACCUGAUCGUGUCCAAGGGCGAACCAGCCACCCUCAACUGCAAGGCCGAGGGGCGUCCCAGCCCCAUGGUGGAGUGGUACAAAGAUGGCGAACGAGUGGAGACAGACAGGGAAGACCCGCGCUCCCACCGUAUGCUGCUGCCCAGCGGCUCCCUCUUCUUCCUGCGUAUUGUCCACGGUCGACGGAGCAAGCCUGACGAGGGGGUCUAUGUGUGCGUGGCACGCAACUACCUAGGCGAGGCCGUCAGUCGCAAUGCAUCGCUGGAGGUGGCAAUCCUGAGGGAUGACUUCAGGCAGACACCCAGUGACGUUGUGGUGGCGGCAGGGGAGCCAGCUGUCAUGGAGUGCAUCCCCCCGCGGGGCCACCCGGAGCCCACCAUCUCUUGGAAGAGGAACAACAUGAAGGUCAACGACCACGACGAGAGAAUCACCAUUCGAGGAGGCAAGCUGAUGAUUUCGAACACAAGGAAGAGCGACGCAGGCAUGUUUGUGUGUGUGGGCACCAAUAUGGUGGGGGAAAGGGACAGCGACCCAGCAGAACUAGUGGUGUUUGAGCGACCCAUGUUCGUUAAGCGUCCUGUGAACCAGGUGGUGUUGGCUGAUGACACGGUGGACUUCCUGUGUGAGGCCCAUGGAGACCCCGCCCCCACCAUCCGCUGGAGGAGAGAGGAAGGAGAGCUGCCCCGUGGCAGGUCAGAUAUCCGCAGUGACCACAGCCUGCGUCUGACCCAGGUUCGGGCUGAGGACGAGGGCACCUACACCUGUGUGUCUGAGAAUAGCGUGGGCAAGGCAGAGGCAUCGGGCAGCCUGCAGGUCCAUGUGGGUCCAUUCAUGCCCCCUCAGAUUGUGGUUCGGCCCCGGGACCAGAUCACAGCCCAGGGUCGCACAGUAAACUUCCUCUGUGGAACCAAGGGCAACCCUCCACCUGCCGUGUUCUGGCAGAAAGAAGGCAGCCAGAUCCUGCUGUUCCCCAUCCAGGAAGCUGCCCAGUCAGGACGGUUCUCUGUGUCUCUGAGCGGGGAGCUGACCAUCACAGACGUCCACAGUGAGGACUCGGGAUACUACAUCUGUCAGGCUAUCUCUGUAGCUGGGAGCAUCCUCACCAAGGCCCUGCUGGAGGUCGAGAGUGCAUCCUCCGACCGAGUCCCACCCAUCAUCCGCCAAGGACCGGCCAAUCAAACGCUGGAGCCGGGCUCCACGGCCCAUUUACAGUGCCACGUGAUGGGCAACCCUCUGCCCAGCAUUCAAUGGGAGAAGGAUGGCCAGAGGAUCCUGGGAGAUGAGCGUGUCAGCCUUAUGGAGAACGGAAUGUUCCAGAUCACAAACCUGCAGGAAACCGAUUCUGGGGCCUAUACCUGCGUGGCUUCCAGCUCCAGCGGAGAAACGAUGUGGAGCGGUGUACUCACUGUUAAAGAGAGUGGAGGUUCGUCUGUGCCCCAGGCAUCAGAACCCUUCCAGCUACCGGGACCUCCCCAGAAACCUGUGGUGACCGACGUGACCCGCAACAGUGUCACCCUCACCUGGCAGCCCAACGCCCAUGAGGGGGGGGCUGCCGUCACCUCCUACAUCAUUGAGGCCUUCAGCCAAUCAGCAGGCAGUACGUGGCAAACGGUGGCUGACCUGGUAAAGUUGGAGAAACACACUGUCAGCGGUCUCUUUCCCAACACCAUCUACCUGUUCAUCGUCCGAGCGGUCAACGCCUACGGGCUGAGUGACCCCAGCCCCAUCUCUGAGCCCGUCCGCACACAAGAUGGGAGUCCUACAGGUCAGGGAGUGGACCACAGGCAGGUCCAGAGAGAGUUGGGAGAGGUGGGUGUUCAUCUUCAGGAGCCUGUCACACUCACUGCCUCCAGUGUUCAAGUAUCAUGGAUGGUAGACCGUCAGUCCCAGUACAUCCAGGGCUACCGGCUCCUCUACCGGCCCAGCGGUGGCACCUGGCAGCUGCAGGAUAUCAAGGCCCCGUCAGAGCGCCUGGCCGUGGUCGCCAACCUGCUCACAGGCACAGAGUAUGAGAUCAAGAUCCGGCCCUACUUCGAUGAGUUCCAGGGCAAGGACAGUCGGCUGCUGCUGAUCAGAACAGCAGCGGAGGUCCCGAGCGCCCCUCCCAGAGCAGUCAACGUGGUUACAGUGAAGCUGAGCAACAGCUCCAGUAUUAGUGUGUCCUGGGAGCCUCCUCCCGCCGACAUGCAGAAUGGAAUUAUCCAGGAGUACAAGGUGUGGUGUGUAGGCAAUGACACCCAGACCCGCUACCACAUCAACACCACCGUAGAUGGCACUGUCCUCUCCACCGUACUCAAGGGGCUGCUGCCAGGCAUCCUGUACCAGGUGGAGGUGGCAGCGGUGACCAGCGCCAGAGUGGGCAUCCACAGCCAGCCUGUGUCCGUCCUCAUCAAGCUGCCAGUGGAGGCACCGUCAGUGCCUGGUACCGGAGGGGGCGCGGAGGGUGAUGAGAGCAGCGUGAGCCUGGCCGAGCAGAUUACUGAUGUGGUGAAGCAGCCGGCAUUCAUCGCUGGGAUCGGCGGGGCCUGCUGGGUCAUCCUCAUGGGUUUCAGCGUGUGGAUCUACUGCCGCCGCAAGAAGAGGAAGGAGCUUAGUCACUACACUGCAUCGUUCAACUACACGCCUGCUGUUGGCUUUCCACAUGGAGAGACAUCUGGACUUAGUGGAAGGCCUGGCAUGCUGGGUGGCAACAUGGGCAACUACCCAUGGCUGGCAGACUCUUGGCCCACCACCAACCUGGUCCACAGUGGCAAGGAGGCUGUCAAAUGUUGCACCUCCAAACAUGACACGGCAGAGAGAUACUACAAUGAAGCGGGCAUCUCUAACUACUUGAACCAGACGGAGAAGUACAGCACGGGCAGCUCCAAUGAAGGUCCUAUCUACAGCACCAUCGACCCCAACGCCGAGGACCUGCGUAGCUUCAACAGCCCCUACUCCUCCACCACGCCCUACGCCAGCACUCCCAUCAUGCCUUUCACCAACCAGGCGCUCCAGGGCUCUCACAGCCCCACAGAGCAAGAUGGCAGCCACUGGAUCACCCAGCCCGCUGGACCCUCUUCCCAGUACGCCCAGCCCGAGCGCUGCAGGACGGACUGCGGUAAACCCAAACAGAAGUCCAUGGGGAAGGCGGUGAAGACCCCCUCUCUAAAAUGGACUGAAGCCCUCCCCCCGCCCCCCUCAUCUGGGGAGCUGGAGCAGUGUGUGGUAGAGGAUAUGCCCAUGGAUGACCAUGAGGACAUGGAGCUAGGGUCUGAUGAGGAAGAGUGGUGCCCGCCCCUUCCGGAAAGAACCUAUCUGAUCGAGGGCUGCGAGGCAGGUCCCGCCCCUCCCCUCAGGGGUGACGCCUCGUCCCCCGCCACCUCCUAUAGUCACCAGUCCACCGCCACCCUCACGCCGUCGCCCAGAGAGGAGAGCCGCCAUCCACCCCACAACACAGCACGCCUUCACCACCUUGAUGGGCAGCAGCUAGCAUGUAGGUUACCUUGCGGUCCUAUCCCAGUGCCCCGGGCGCCCAGCCCGCCCCUCACGCAGUCCAACCCCAACCUCUCAGCCCAGCAACACGGUGAGGGCUCUGAGGUGGGCACACCGCUCCGCAACAGCUUGGCCCACCGCAGUGACCUCAGCCAAGGGGCAGCACUGAGUGUCGACAAUGUCAGCUCCAGCACACCUGUGAGAGCUCAGUCCUCCCCAGCUGACAACACACACACUCCCCCCCGGCCUGAAGUCUCGAGUGAAAAAGAAGACUUCCAAAAGCGGAGCUUACAGAAGAGAGGUGCUUAACCAAGGAGACCUCCCUCCUCCACCAGAGCCACCUCCAGAGAAUGGAGCAGUGCGGUGCCCAGCAAGGGCUGUAGACUGUGGCCAAGCAUCCCUGGACAGAGAGGGAGAAAGGAGCACCCCUUCCAGGAAGGGAUCAGGACAGAGACGCCGAGAUGAUGAGGACCUGAUCCCGUACAGCAAGCCCAGCUACCUGGCGGGGCGGGGGUGUCAGAUGUCCAGUAACUGCUCCACUACAGGAAGCUCCUCGUCGAGGGGCUCCACGGGGUCACGAGGGGGUCCCGGCUCAGGCAGGAAACGCAACGAGGAAAUGAGAUAAGUGGAUACCGGAAGACUCGCAGAAAACAAAACACCUUUGUCAUUCGACGUUCCUUUGAUGCCUCCCAUUUUCUUUCUUCGAUCAAAGCAAACAGAAAUAAAUGAAGAUCACUUUCUGAAGAACAAUGGAAUAAGAACAGAUUUUCAUAAAUUGUUUUAUAUUAUUAUGAUUAUUUAUGACUCUCGGGCUCGGCCCAUAUUCAUUUGCAAAUAGCCAUUGCUGUACUGUUUUUACGUGGACUCUGGAUAAAGGGAAAGAAAAAGUAUAUUGUAUUUAUAAGGAAAAACACAUGUAUAAAAAGGUAAUGUCUUGAAUGUGCCAACGUCAUUUUGUAGAACUGUAUACCGUUCGGAAAGCAUAAAGACUAUUGCACUCUUGUUGUGGUGGAGAAACAACAAAUAUGAAGCACAAAGUGUGUUCAUGUCAGGCAGCCGGCCGGACAGAUGAACCUGCAGGGGUCUUCGUCCACUCAGGACGACUCUGCCUAUCUUCUCUGGAUACCUAUCGCCCGUGGUCCAAUGAGAAUAUUAUUUUCAAAGUUUUGUUUUAUUUAUUUAUUUUUACAGAGGAAGCUAGUUGUGAACCGACAGACCGACAACGUUGUGAAAAGAUUGUAACCAUCACUUUUGAUGGACUGUUGCUGCGAUUGUGCGACGACUUGCAUAUUCUGUUAAAAGAACCAAAAUAAUCUGUUCUGUCAACUAACUUUUUGGUAGUCUUGUUGUUUUGUAAUAAUACAAUAAAAUACAUUUGUUGAACAAUAA